rnacentral:lncRNA from 1 species
UGUGACAGCUUCCCAUCAUCCUCCAAAUGUCUUGCAACAGGAGGUGAUCAUCCUCUGUAAACAACUGCCUUGCAAUCCAUCGGAUCACCAUCAUGGAGCCACCCUUGAGAAUGAUGGACUUAGCUACGAGAAUGAGCCUCGCAUAACGAAUCCGCUUCCAAGCCGCAUGCAGUUCUAUCCCCAGUACGGAGACAUCAAAAUUCUACCCACCUCUAACAGCAAUA